AAAGUGAUUUUAACUUUGGGCAGCAGCUGGAUACUGGCUUUUGGGGGAAUCAUUUCAUCUCUGGGGACGUUUAGGAACUAUGCUUUCUGUAAGACUGUGGGCAGCACAUGAGUCACCUGUCUUAGUUUCCUGCAAACAUGGCUGAAGUUCAGAGGCUGAUACUGGGUUCUGGGACAGUGAUGGGGUGAGCACACACAAGGUGGUACUUAGUACUCCUUGGCCAGGCAGUGGCAGUUUGGGUAUGCAGUGGCUUUGUGGUAAAUGUUGUUUUCUGUCCUUUCCAGGCUUUGUAUCCUGUUUUGGAGCCCAGAUUCGGAAAGGGAGACUAUUGGCCUGGGUGUGACAGAUCAUCAGGAUUCAAGCCAUGAGAUGCUUUCUGUGGUCCUCAGAAAAGGAUGGCUCCUCCACGAUCUGCCAGAAGAAUGAAAACCGUGCAGAAAGCCAGUUGAGGAGAUCACCCAUUCCAUGCUGUGCCUGAAAUGGGACCCUCGUCACUUGGGUCCACAGAGUACACUUAACACGGGAACAGGCGCCAGCACUCAACGAGUUACACUAUCUUCUUGAAGUCAAGCUUCGAUUUGCAAACUUGGGCCUGCCUGCCUGCUUGCUUCUGGAGACCUUGGAGCUCAGAAUGGAAUGCAGCUUAGGUGCCCUGCUUGUAAGAAAGCUGCAGACCUGAAUGGGUUGGGCAAUAUGCAGGCUCUACCUUGGACAGGGUCUGAGUAGCCAAAGCACUCCCUAGUGCUGGCGUUGUUCCUGUGUUGUGUUUGGCUUGUCCUGGGAGCCCCCAAACUAGCAGGGAGUCUGAGGUCCACAGUUGGGAGAGCUGGCAGGGCCAAUAAUUGCUAUGGAAAUGUGCUCCAGGACAGCUGAGAGGCCAGAUCAGCCUCGAAGGCCCUCGUUUUCCACCCUGUCAGCUUCCCACCCAGCUAUGGAUUUCUAGCCAUCGCUG